ACUCAAAUGAAUUGACGGGGGCUCACACAAGCAGUGGAGCAUGUGGCUUAAUUCGAGGCUACGCGCAGAACCUUAUCCCGGGCUUGACAUGCACGGAUUACCCGGCGGAAACGCCGGGGACGCCGCGAGGUGGAACGUGCACAGGUGCUGCAUGGCUGUCGUCAGCUCGUGCCGUGAGGUGUUGGGUUAAGUCCCGUAACGAGCGAAACCCCUGCGGUUAGUUGCCAUCAGGUCACGCUGGGCACUCUAGCCGGACCGCCGGCGUCAAGCCGGAGGAAGGCGGGGACGACGUCAAGUCCGCAUGGCCCUUAUGCCCGGGGCCGCACACGUGCUACAAUGGGCCGGACAGAGCGCCGCGACGUCGCAAGGCGGAGCCAAUCGCCGAAACCGGCCCCCAGUUCGGAUUGCGGGCUGCAACCCGCCCGCAUGAAGCCGGAAUUGCUAGUAAUCGCGGAUCAGCAUCGCCGCGGUGAAUGGGUUCCUGAGCCUUGUACACACCGCCCGU
rnacentral:rRNA from 1 species